rnacentral:rRNA from 1 species
CCCCUAGAUGUUCUGGGCCGCACGCGCGCUACACUGAACAGUUCAACAAGUCUUAACCUUGGCCGAUAGGUCUGGGUAAUCUUUGAACGCUGUUCGUGAUUGGGAUAGACCUUUGCAAUUAUGGGUCUUCAACGAGGAAUUCCUAGUAAACGCAAGUCAUCAGCUUGCAUUGAUUACGUCCCUGCCCUUUGUACACACCGCCCGUCGCACCUACCGAUUGAAUGGUCCGGUGAAAUCUCGGGACGGCGGCUUGGUCGCUUGCGUCCGACUGCUGAAACUUGAUUAAACCUUAUCACUUAGAGGAAGGAGAAGUCGUAACA